GCAGACACAUUCCAGCCAAUCAGCAGCAGACCCUCCCUCCCAGACCCUCCCACCUCCUGGACAGCUCACUAAGAAUGCAGCUUCAAAAUGGAUGCUGUCCAGGAGGUGGGAGGGUCUGGGAGGGAGGGUAUGCUGCUGAUUGGCUGGAAUGUGUCUG